rnacentral:tRNA from 1 species
UUAAAAAGAAGCUUUAAAGAAGCAUGGAAUUUUUAAUUCUAGGAAGUGUAAUUAUAAACACCUUUUUAAU